AUUGAACGCUGGCGGCAUGCCUUACACAUGCAAGUCGAACGGCAGCACGGGAGCAAUCCUGGUGGCGAGUGGCGAACGGGUGAGUAAUAUAUCGGAACGUGCCCAGUCGUGGGGAUAACGUAGCGAAAGCUACGCUAAUACCGCAUACGAUCUAUGGAUGAAAGCGGGGGAUCGCAAGACCUCGCGCGAUUGGAGCGGCCGAUAUCAGAUUAGGUAGUUGGUGAGGUAAAGGCUCACCAAGCCAACGAUCUGUAGCUGGUCUGAGAGGACGACCAGCCACACUGGAACUGAGACACGGUCCAGACUCCUACGGGAGGCAGCAGUGGGGAAUUUUGGACAAUGGACGCAAGUCUGAUCCAGCCAUUCCGCGUGCAGGAUGAAGGCCCUCGGGUU
rnacentral:rRNA from 1 species